AGUGGGGAAUUUUGGACAAUGGGGGCAACCCUGAUCCAGCCAUGCCGCGUGCGGGAAGAAGGCCUUCGGGUUGUAAACCGCUUUUGUCAGGGAAGAAACGCUCUGAGCUAAUACCUCGGGGUAAUGACGGUACCUGAAGAAUAAGCACCGGCUAACUACGUGCCAGCAGCCGCGGUAAUACGUAGGGUGCAAGCGUUAAUCGGAAUUACUGGGCGUAAAGCGUGCGCAGGCGGUCUUGCAAGACAGAUGUGAAAUCCCCGGGCUCAACCUGGGAACUGCAUUUGUGACUGCAAGGCUGGAGUGCGGCAGAGGGGGAUGGAAUUCCGCGUGUAGCAGUGAAAUGCGUAGAUAUGCGGAGGAACACCGAUGGCGAAGGCAAUCCCCUGGGCCUGCACUGACGCUCAUGCACGAAAGCGUGGGGAGCAAA
rnacentral:rRNA from 1 species